rnacentral:snoRNA from 10 species
CUGCGAAUACUCUCACUGUUCUGAUUUUGUAAUAAUCAGGACAGGCUAAAUGUUCGCUAUAAUAAGACUAUGCAUGUGUGUCCAGACCCAGUUUUUACCCACCUAGGUCUGGUCUUAGAAAUGCUGGUGAUGGGG